rnacentral:snoRNA from 1 species
UCCCCGGGUCCCCAGUGCAGCCCCCAGAUGAACCCACAGUAGUUUCCUUAUAUGACUGGGCCCCUUAUAUAAUUGGCAGCGACGCUUGCCCAGAGCCUAAGAGGAUUAUAACAGGUCAGGCGAGCCGGGGAGCGGGACGGAGAA